UGAUGGUGCUCACGGGAAAUGCAGUCUUCAUCCCAGAGGAACACUACAAACUCCAUCCACAGGGGGCGCCAGAAUCAACACUACACGAAAACUCCUCACAGUGCCUUUAAACUGGAACUUGGAUUGAAAGCAGCCAAGCUUUUGGGCACUCAGUCAUGCAAAAAGGGCUGCAAAACCUGAUCAGGCUCCAACUUCCAAAUUUUUCAGUGUUUCCAGCACGGGGCUGUCUAAUCCCCAGGCAGAGCCCACACCUGCGGCUGAUAGGAUCCUUCUGGAGUACAAAGGCUCUGAUUUACAGCCCAGAGGAGCUGUGGGCCUGCCUACAGCUGCACAACGGCAGGAAAGGGAAGUUGUUCAUCACGCAGUGUGCAUUUCACCAGCAUUAGCUCCUAUAGUGCACGCCAGACCCCUGAACUGCUCCUAAAUGACAGGUGGCAAAAUAGCACGGGGCCUUUUUGUUACAAAUUACAGCUAAUAAACACUGAGUGUCUCUCAUGGAUCUCACACACACCCUUCAUUUGUUUUCUAAGUGAAGAAUAACUAAGUCUGCAUUUUAAAUUUCUACAUUCCUGUGUGAGUCCAGCAGAAUUCGUUCUGCUCUGAUGGGAGUGUUUGCAGGAGGUGGUGAUGAAUGGUGUGGAGAGAAGGUGGAGAUGGAGGAAGAGCCAGCAGUAAAACGGAUCAGUUCAGGAUAAGUAGCGCUGCGGUGAUGACUGCUGACUGGCCCGAGUCUGCACCGAGAGGUUCACAUGAUCGCCCCCACGCACGAACAUCAGUUUAUCAGUAGAGUUCAAGAUUUGCAUCAGGGCUGAGCGUGAUUAAUUAAACUUUUAAUCCCAUGUUUACUCCAUUAUUUUGCAUUUCAAGCUGAUUUGAAGUCCAUAUUAAAUAAACUUUUGAAUACAUGUU